AGUGAACGCUGGCGGUAGGCCUAACACAUGCAAGUCGAACGGCAGCACAUUAUUCGCUUGCUGUUCCGGGUGGCGAGUGGCGGGCGGGUGAGGAAUACAUCGGAACCUCCUCUUUCGUGGGGGACUACGACGGGGAACUUACGCUAAUACCGCAUACGACCUGCGGGUGAAAGCACGCGCUCUUCGGACCUUGCGCGAUUGAAUGAGACGAUGUCGGAUUAGCUAUUUGGCGGGGGAAAGGCCCACCAAGGCGACGAUCCGUAGCUGAUCUGCGAGAAUGAGCAGCCACACUGGAACUGGGACACGGUCCAGACUCCGACGGGGGGCAGCAGUGGGGAAUAUUGGGAGAUAGGCGCAAGCCUGAUCCAGCAAUACGGCGUGGGUGAAGGAGGCCUUCGGGUGGUAAAGCCGUUUGGUUGGGAAAGAAGAGCAGCAGGUUAAGGCCCCGCAGUUCUGACGGUACCCAAAGAAUAAGCACCGGCUAACUUCGUG
rnacentral:rRNA from 1 species